AGCCCUCGGUCGGCGGGAAGGAGCAGCUCUGGCAUGUGGGGAUCUCCGGCACCAACAGAUAUUUUGAUGGCAUGACAAAUCAGAAAGAAGAGGAUGUACUGUAUGACUAGACACAAGAUCAGUUCUGUUUGUGGAUUACAUUUUCAGUAAGAUCUGCAGAGUGGAUCAACUACAGCUGAAGGCAGAGCUACCUAAACCAGCUAAAAACCAGAGCAUUCUCCUGGUACAGGGACAGUGUGGAUCC
rnacentral:lncRNA from 1 species